rnacentral:lncRNA from 1 species
AUCAAACAUAUAGUGAUGGCCAAAGUGCAUAAAUCUUUUCAACUUGAAAAGUGUAGGUAAUGAAGAAAUUCAAAUAUAGAAAGAAAGUAUUCUACUUUGAUGUUGAACACUUUAAGAUUUACUCAGCUGACCAAGUAAAACAGAAAAAUGAUACUGAUUAGAACCGAGACCUUGGCAAGACUGGUAAAUGACGAGGAUAAUAAAAAAAUCCAAACCACCUGAUUCUGUUUUAUUUUGCAAAUGCUUUUGGUACAUACCAUAACCUUUUCCCAUAAAUAUUGGUAUACACUGUUUCUUAGAGCAUCUCCAAUGGUUGGGUAAAGAUAGAUGUAAAAUAGAGAUUUAGAUCUCCAAAGUGACAAGAAACCUCUCCAAUGGAGAGAUACAAAGGAGAUACAGAUUGUAUUCUCCAGUAGAAAAUGUAAAAAAAAUAUAUAAAUUUACAUCUUUUUUUACACCCACGAGGCAAAGUAGAUUUAAAUUUUCCCAUUAGAGCAAAACUUGGAUUUAGAUCUACUGAGAUGUAAAUGAGAAUGCAAAAGUAAUUUUUGAGACAUCAAUUUACACUCAAUUUUAUACCACUAUCGGAUAUGCUCUUAAUAACCACAUUUCAAUACUGUCCUAAUUUAGCUAAUACUAGGUGGUCGAGAAAAAUCCCACGCCAUGUAUCCAACCAAUUUAGGUCCUAUUUAGUUUAGUUUCUUUCAAACUCAUUUUCAAACAUACUUCCAAUAAUAUAAUUUUGCAUAGACCCAUAAAUUUUCCUUACUUUUUAACCAUAUUCUCUAAAAAAGUCACUUUUCAUAAAAUCAAUUCUCAAAAAGUUUACAUCAAACCGGUCUUUAAUCCUAUGAGUAACAUUAUAUACUUUUUCUCAGACCCUAUAAAUGGUCAACCAUAGAUGCGAAAACAUUUUUAUUUCUUUCCUUCUAAAUUUACAGCACGAGAAUUAGAUCGAGCCCCUGUUUGAUACCCAUUAAAAAGAUUUUCUUUCUUUUUUUUUUUUUUUUUUUUUUUUUUUUUUUUUUAAAAAUUUUUUUUUUUUUUUUUUUUUUUUUUUUUUUUUGAGAAAAUGAGUUUCCAAAUAGUGAUUUUUUUGCAGACUGUGGUUAGAAAUGUUGAGUUUAUUUCUGUCUACCAUUCUCCGAAAACUCUUAAAAAAAGAAUAAAUAAAAUAAAACCUUAUGUACAAAAUAUUUUAUUCUAAGAAUGUGUAGUUGAAAAUAACUAAUUAUUUUUUUUUUUAAAGAAAAAAAGAGUUUUAGGAGAAUGGUAGACAGAAAAGGGCACAAUAUUGAAUAUCAAACAUCUGUUUGCAACCUCAAUUCACCAACAGAUCAAGAAUGUUAAACUGAGUCUCUUCCAAUCUUCCUACAUCGCCAAAACUGCAUUUCUCAUUCUACUCGGUAAUUCAUUGAAACUGUCAAUUCAAGCUCCAUUAGUUUCCAAUCACUUUUUCCCAAAGAUUCAUAAUGAAUGCACAAUCUUGAAUUAUCCUUGUGCAUCAAUAUCAUAUAGUGUUAAAAAAAAUGACCAAAAAGAUGUAGAGUUGCAUUUUUACCUACCUUUAAACCGAAGUUCUUUCAAGCCAUUAUUUUGCUUGCUUAAGCAUCUAUCUGUUUUUUUAUCACUCACACGCCUCAUAUACUUUAUCUAGAUGACCACGUUAUUAUUUGCAGUUUUGCACCCCAUGAUUGGACCGAGUACAAGAACUCACCAACAACAAUUUCUCAAUAAUUCUCACUUAAAAUUAAGGGCGCCAGAAGAAAAAGAUUUAAUUGGAAGCAAAAACCCAUACAAAAGCUUCAGUAUUCUAACUAGGCAUGUUAUCAACAGCUUCACGCAGAAUAAUGAAGUCUGUAUAAACCAACAAAAAUGCAAGCUUAAGACUAAAUCACCACAUGGAAGAUAGAUAAACCAUUAUUAUCUACUAUAUAUCUCAUCAUAUCGAAACAAUCAGUAACACUAAUAUUCGCAGCAAGUUAUGCAACUAAGGAUUCGGAAAAACUUGUUAACAAUUCUAGGCAAUAUUUCUUAUUAAAAAUACUCAGAAAAUGGGGUAAAGCACAAAAUCACACAAUAAUUUUAGUAAUUCUCAUUUUAGGCAAGUCUCACGCAGAAAAUAUAAUUUUGACCGAUGAGUUUUGUCAGCUAGUUUUACGGAGAAGAUGAAGUUACCUUUUAGCAUCAUUUCCCCGUAUUCAUCAUCAACGUUAUAUUAUCUCCUUUUAGAAGGAUUCUACCAAGUUGCUUUCUGCUAUUCUUCUUGACGUUGACCUCCUCAGCAUCAUCCAGAACCAAAUUCAUGUAUUCAUCAAAGCCAAUGAUGCGGCCUUCGAUCCUCGCAUCCUUCUGCUCGAAAAGCCAAAUCUGAAUACGAGCUUUGCUCUGGAGGAACCGGAAGAUGAGGUUAAUUGGUUGAGUCAUAAUCCUCUGGACUUUUGUGCUCGCCAUGGCUGCUGAAUUUGGGAGCUCCGGCGCCAAAAAAUUUCUUUCCUUCCAAUGCAACACAGAAAAGCAGUGUAACCCUAGCAAAAGUUGCUAGUGUUCAAUUUAUAUGCUCUAUUUGGGCCGAAAACGGGGCAAUAUCAAUGUGAGUGGGCCCAUCAUGACCCAAGUAGUUAGUCCUAAAAUCUAACGAGACUGGUCCAUUCUAUUCUUUUUAAGUUGGAAAAAUUAAAGAAGGGCAAAUUAGGCCUACUACUCUAAAACAAUAAUAAAUUAGAUUUAUACAUUUAAAAAAAUUACAACCCCUAAUGACAAUAAUAAUUACAUCCUAUAGUCUCCCGAAAACCCCAAAACCAAUUGGGACAGAGAGAAAUUAUAAACAUCUCCAAAACCCACAAUUCAUCAACGCGAAGAAGCAACAGUUUCACCCAUAAGAAGAAGGUGAUUCAUCCACCUAUUAAAGGCUUCACCCAUGUGACACCACUGAUUAUAAACUCGAAUUGUGACAGAAGAAAGUGAAUAGAAGGCGAUGAAGAGAAAAUCGAGUUUUUUGGACCACGUGAUGCCACUAGUGGCUGAAAGCUAGCGUUUAAAAUUCGAAAGGGUGAGCGAAUGAUGGCUUCUCUAGAUUGCAAGGUUUUUCAUUUUUGAUUUCCAAUUUUUGGCUUGAUGGUGCAGUGAACAUUUAGAAUCUUUUACCUCACUGUGUCUUGUGUUCAGGUAAAUGUCUAAUUUUGAUGAAAUAUCAAAAUUCUUACUCAAUCAUAGUUGAUAAAGGCUAAUUUUGUAACUUUAAUGCUAUUCGAUAGAGAACGUGGAAUAUUUUGGUAAAUGGUUGAGAAGAAGUCGAUGGUCUUUUGGAAGUGCAUCCGAGAAAUUAUUAGAAGUUGCUCAAAUCGCCAUAUUUAGUCUCUCUCUCUCUCACUCUCACUCUCACUCUCACACUCACACAUACACGCACGCACACACUGUGAUAGAUGCACUGUAUUGUAUAUUAAUUCAUUUAGAUGAAUUGUUGAUGCAGGUGAGUUCUGAAAGGGCUUCUUCCACCACUUCCCAGUAGUAACAUACAAUUGGGAUUUUCAAUAUUCGCAAGCUUUUAUGGUUUCAAACGUUAUUCGUUUUAAUAAUAACACUGUUUUCGGUACCACUAAGAAUCGUUGAAUGAUAUGUCAUGAUAUCACUUUCUAAGGUGUUAUGGCAUUCGAGUUUUGUGUAUUUAGAGAUUCAUUAUAUAGUAGAGAUUAGUAAGAUGUGGUUUGUUGGUGCUUAAAAUGUUUGGUGGUGAAGGAGAAAAAGGAGAGACGAUGGUAAUGUCACUUUUUUGUCACUUUAUUUGAAUUGAUUCCAAUGUUUUGCCAAAGUCUGAAACAGAAUAUCCAAAUUCAGCUAAGGAUGAACUAUGAAUUUAUAUAAAAUAUAUAAUUUAAGGUUUUGAUUGAUAUUUUGUUACUUUUUGAGAUUUUGUCACUUUUUUUUUUUAAUUUACGUCACUUUUAUAAGAGCCUGUUUGGUACUCAUUUUUUUUGAAAAUGCAUUUUUCUCUCUCUUCUUUUCAACCACACAUUCUUUAUUAAAAUAAUAUUACACGUAAAUCAAAAACUUUUCCUUAUUUUUCAACCACACAUUUUUCAUCAAUUUACUAUUCAAAAAUGCAUUUUUACAUAAAAAUAUCUACCAAACACCCUCUAAGUGUUUGUCACUUUUACAGUGUUGAGUGUUUAUACAAUUUAUUGACGUUUACAUCUUAAUUUAGUCAUCAAUUUCAUUAGUUGGUAGCUUAUUAGAAACUUGGUUGUAUUUAAAUUUUUGGAUUAUAAUUGUAUUGUUCAAGUUGUUAGUUCAAAAGUUUUUAUUUGUUCAUCAGUUGUAAAUUUAUUGGAUAAUUUGGUUAUAUUGAGAAUCGUGGAUUAUGAUUUGUUAAUUCUCUGAUUUUAUAUCACUUUUUUUUGAAUUUGUAUCACUUUUUUUUUUAAUGUCUCUUUUUUAAAAUUUUGUCACUUUUUGAGUGUUUGUCACUUUUUUAAUCUGCCCGUUUGGGCCCCAUUAAAUUUUUUUCAUUUUUCUCUCUUUUAUUUUUAAUCAUAUAAUCUUCCAUAAAAUAAUAUUACAUAUAAUCGAAAACCCUUCAUUCAUUUUCAACUACUCAUUUUUCAAAAAAAAUAUUGUUCCACCCAUUUUCAUUUCAAAAAAUGAGGGCCAAACGAGUGCUUAAUUUUGUCACUUUUUUCUAUCACCUUCUUGAUUUCAAUCAUUUUUUUAGUUGGAAAUAUCACUUUUAAUAAAAAUGGCAUUAAAUGUCUUGUUUUAAUAAAAAAGUGACUCUUAACUUUUAAAAGUUAAUUUUGUGAUUUUUGUAUAACUAUUUAACAUUAUUUCGUUUAAUUUUUUGUUAACUAAUUAUUUUUGUUUCCAACCAAUUUAGAUCCUAUUCAGUUUAGUUUCUUUCAAACUCAUUUUCAAACAUACUUCCAAUAAUACAAUUUUGCAUACAGACCCAUAAAUUUUCCUUACUUUUUAACCAUAUUCUCUAAAAAUGUCACUUCUCAUAAAAUCAAUUCUCAAAAAGUUUACAUCAAACAGGUCUUUAAUCCUAUGAGUAACAUUAUAUCCUUUUUCUCAGACCCUAUAAAUGGUCAAGCAUAGAUGCGAAAGCACUUUUAGUUCUUUCCUUCUAAAUUAACAGCACAAAAAUUAGAUCGGGCCCCUGUUUGAUACCCAUUAAAAAGAUUUUCCAUUUUUUUUUUUUUUUUUUUU